UACGAAGGGGGCGAGCGUUGUUCGGAUUUACUGGGCGUAAAGGGCGCGCAGGCGGCCAUUAUUUGUCGAGUGUGAAAGCCCCGGGCUUAACCUGGGAACUGCGCUCGAAACGGGAUGGCUAGAGAUCGGGAGAGGAGCGUGGAAUUCCCAGUGUAGAGGUGAAAUUCGUAGAUAUUGGGAAGAACACCGGUGGCGAAGGCGGCGCUCUGGACCGAGACUGACGCUGAGGCGCGAAAGCGUGGGGAGCAAACAGG
rnacentral:rRNA from 1 species